rnacentral:rRNA from 1 species
AAAAACAUCUUUUCUUGUUAGUUUUUGAAGUAUGGCCUGCCCGCUGACAUUUGGUGUUGAAGGGCCGCGGUAUUUUGACCGUGCAAAGGUAGCAUAAUCAUUAGUUCUUUAAUUGUGAUCUGGAAUGAAUGGCUUGACGAGGCACGGGCUGUCUUAGUGUUGAAUGUUUUAUUGAAUUUGGUCUUUGAGUUAAAAUUCUUAGAUGUUUUUGUGGGACGAGAAGACCCUAUAGAGUUUGACAUUUGGUUUAUUUACUUGUUUGUUGUUUGUUUAUUUUUGGUGAGUGGGCUUUUUGUUUUGUUGGGGUGAUGGGAGGAAUGUACUUAACUCCUCUUAGUUUUGGUUAUAUUGAUUUAUAGUUGUUUGAUCCAUUUAUUUUGAUUGUAAGACUAAAUUACCUUAGGGAUAACAGCGUUAUCUUCCUUGAGAGUUCUUAUCGGCAGGGGGGUUUGCGACCUCGAUGUUGGAUUAAGGUGAAUUUUUGGUGUAGGGGCUGAAAUUGUAUUAGGUCUGUUCGACCUUUGGAAUCUUACGUGA